rnacentral:rRNA from 1 species
CCUACGGGAGGCAGCAGUGAGGAAUAUUGGUCAAUGGACGAGAGUCUGAACCAGCCAAGUAGCGUGAAGGAUGACUGCCCUAUGGGUUGUAAACUUCUUUUAUAUGGGAAUAAAAUGUUCCACGUGUGGGAUUUUGUAUGUACCAUAUGAAUAAGGAUCGGCUAACUCCGUGCCAGCAGCCGCGGUAAUACGGAGGAUCCGAGCGUUAUCCGGAUUUAUUGGGUUUAAAGGGAGCGUAGGUGGAUUGUUAAGUCAGUUGUGAAAGUUUGCGGCUCAACCGUAAAAUUGCAGUUGAAACUGGCAGUCUUGAGUACAGUAGAGGUGGGCGGAAUGCGUGGUGUAGCGGUGAAAUGCUUAGAUAUCACGAAGAACUCCAAUUGCGAAGGCAGUUCACUGGACUGCAACUGACACUGAGGCUCGAAAGUGUGGGUAUCAAACAGGAUUAGAUACCCGGGUAGUC